rnacentral:rRNA from 1 species
AUUGAACGCUGGCGGCAGGCCUAACACAUGCCAGUCGAGCGGAUGAAGGGAGCUUGCUCCUGGAUUCAGCGGCGGACGGGUGAGUAAUGCCUAGGAAUCUGCCUGGUAGUGGGGGAUAACGUCCGGAAACGGGCGCUAAUACCGCAUACGUCCUGAGGGAGAAAGUGGGGGAUCUUCGGACCUCACGCUAUCAGAUGAGCCUAGGUCGGAUUAGCUAGUUGGUGGGGUAAAGGCCUACCAAGGCGACGAUCCGUAACUGGUCUGAGAGGAUGAUCAGUCACACUGGAACUGAGACACGGUCCAGACUCCUACGGGAGGCAGCAGUGGGGAAUAUUGGACAAUGGGCGAAAGCCUGAUCCAGCCAUGCCGCGUGUGUGAAGAAGGUCUUCGGAUUGUAAAGCACUUCAAGUUGGGAGGAAGGGCAGUAAGUUAAUACCUUGCUGUUUUGACGUUACCAACAGAAUAAGCACCGGCUAACUUCGUG